UACGAAGGGGGCUAGCGUUGUUCGGAUUUACUGGGCGUAAAGCGCACGUAGGCGGAUUGUUAAGUGAGGGGUGAAAUCCCAGGGCUCAACCCUGGAACUGCCUUUCAUACUGGCAAUCUCGAGUCCGGAAGAGGUGAGUGGAACUCCUAGUGUAGAGGUGGAAUUCGUAGAUAUUAGGAAGAACACCAGUGGCGAAGGCGGCUCACUGGUCCGGUACUGACGCUGAUGCGCGAAAGCUAGGGGAGCAAACAGG
rnacentral:rRNA from 1 species